UGUGCUUAUUUGCUACUAGUGUUCACUGCACCUUUAAAAAUUUGAUUACACUUAAUGUGUCCAACAGACCAUCAUCGAAAUAUGUUGGAUUUAGGUCUACAUCAGCCCCUCCACCUGCAGCCUCAGGAAGACCUCCAGUUCAGGCCUCAACAAGUAGGCUCCACACAGAGACAAUGGAAAGACCAAAAAAGAAAUUCUGCAAUAAUUUCCACCAUCAACACCAGAGACAGUCCCAGAUCUAAGACAAGAUGAAAGAGAACUCCGACUCUUUCAGAUGCUAGAGGAGAUAAAGGCCAAGUCAGACAAAAUUCUCUUCUGCUUCAG